AGCUAAGAUAACCACAUCUUGAAUGUCAAUUUAAUCCACAGUAUUUAAUCCAUUUCAAGGGGUCUGAAAAGUUGCUUUGAUUUGUUAAAUAACCAAAAUAGCUCUAGCCAACAAACUUGUAUGUGCCAGAUCUUGAUGAUUGAGAUCUAAAACAUGAGGCAUAAUCACCAUCUCUUCUAUUUAAGUCUCUGAUGUUUCUUCAUAAAUCUGCAAGUACUAGAUUUGGUUUUUGUGUGGGAUCAAGUUUGGAUAGUCUCCCACCAUGAUGCUGAUCAUGUUCUUAUUGGUUCCACUCGCCUCAUUGAGAUGAGGGCGAUACAUGGAUGUGAGCUGGUCCAUGGUGCACAUGAAAAGACAUACAGAGUUGAUGAUAUCAUUUCUACCGACCCAC
rnacentral:lncRNA from 1 species